rnacentral:rRNA from 1 species
AGCGUACACGGUGGAUGCCUAGGCAGUCAGAGGCGAUGAAGGGCGUGCUAAUCUGCGAUAAGCGUCGGUAAGCUGAUAUGAAGCGUUAUACCCGACGAUACCCGAAUGGGGAAACCCAGUGUGUUUCGACACACUAUCAUUACGUGAAUACAUAGCGUAAUGAGGCGAACCGGGGGAACUGAAACAUCUCAGUACCCCGAGGAAAAGAAAUCAACCGAGAUUCCCCUAGUAGCGGCGAGCGAACGGGGAGGAGCCCAGAACCUGAAUCAGUUUGUGUGUUAGUGGAAGCGUCUGGAAAGUCGCACAGUAAAGGGUGAUAGUCCCGUACACAAAAAUGCACAAAUUGUGAGUUCGAUGAGUAGGGCGGGACACGUGACAUCCUGUCUGAAUAUGGGGGGACCAUCCUCCAAGGCUAAAUACUCCUGACUGACCGAUAGUGAACCAGUACCGUGAGGGAAAGGCGAAAAGAACCCCGGCGAGGGGAGUGAAAUAGAACCUGAAACCGUGUACGUACAAGCAGUGGGAGCCUUGAUUAAUCAGGGUGACUGCGUACCUUUUGUAUAAUGGGUCAGCGACUUAUAUUCUGUAGCAAGGUUAACCGUAUAGGGGAGCCGUAGGGAAACCGAGUCUUAACUGGGCGUUAAGUUGCAGGGUAUAGACCCGAAACCCGGUGAUCUAGCCAUGGGCAGGUUGAAGGUUGGGUAACACUAACUGGAGGACCGAACCGACUAAUGUUGAAAAAUUAGCGGAUGACUUGUGGCUGGGGGUGAAAGGCCAAUCAAACCGGGAGAUAGCUGGUUCUCCCCGAAAGCUAUUUAGGUAGCGCCUCGUGAAUUCAUCUUCGGGGGUAGAGCACUGUUUCGGCUAGGGGGUCAUCCCGACUUACCAACCCGAUGCAAACUACGAAUACCGAAGAAUGUUAUCACGGGAGACACACGGCGGGUGCUAACGUUCGUCGUGAAGAGGGAAACAACCCAGACCGCCAGCUAAGGUCCCAAAGUCAUGGUUAAGUGGGAAACGAUGUGGGAAGGCACAGACAGCCAGGAUGUUGGCUUAGAAGCAGCCAUCAUUUAAAGAAAGCGUAAUAGCUCACUGGUCGAGUCGGCCUGCGCGGAAGAUGUAACGGGGCUAAACCAUGCACCGAAGCUGCGGCAGCGACACUUAGGUGUUGUUGGGUAGGGGAGCGUUCUGUAAGCCGUCGAAGGUGACCUGUGAGGGUUGCUGGAGGUAUCAGAAGUGCGAAUGCUGACAUAAGUAACGAUAAUGCGGGUGAAAAACCCGCACGCCGGAAGACCAAGGGUUCCUGUCCAACGUUAAUCGGGGCAGGGUGAGUCGACCCCUAAGGCGAGGCUGAAAAGCGUAGUCGAUGGGAAACAGGUUAAUAUUCCUGUACUCGGUGUUACUGCGAAGGGGGGACGGAGAAAGCUAGGUUAUCCGGGCGACGGUUGUCCCGGUUUAAGCGUGAAGGUGGAUGACUUUGGUAAAUCCGGGUCGUCAUUAACACUGAGGCGUGAUGACGAGUCACUACGGUGAUGAAGUAACCAAUGCUACGCUUCCAGGAAAAGCCUCUAAGCUCCAGGUAACAUCAAAUCGUACCCCAAACCGACACAGGUGGUCAGGUAGAGAAUACUCAGGCGCUUGAGAGAACUCGGGUGAAGGAACUAGGCAAAAUGGUGCCGUAACUUCGGGAGAAGGCACGCUGAUGGUAGGUGAAGUGACUUGCUCACGGAGCUGAAAUCAGUCGAAGAUACCAGCUGGCUGCAACUGUUUAAUAAAAACACAGCACUGUGCAAACACGAAAGUGGACGUAUACGGUGUGACGCCUGCCCGGUGCCGGAAGGUUAAUUGAUGGGGUCAGCCGCAAGGCGAAGCUCUUGAUCGAAGCCCCGGUAAACGGCGGCCGUAACUAUAACGGUCCUAAGGUAGCGAAAUUCCUUGUCGGGUAAGUUCCGACCUGCACGAAUGGCGUAAUGAUGGCCAGGCUGUCUCCACCCGAGACUCAGUGAAAUUGAACUCGCUGUGAAGAUGCAGUGUACCCGCGGCAAGACGGAAAGACCCCGUGAACCUUUACUAUAGCUUGACACUGAACCUUGAGCCUUGAUGUGUAGGAUAGGUGGGAGGCUUUGAAGCGUGGACGCCAGUCUGCGUGGAGCCAACCUUGAAAUACCACCCUUUAAUGUUUGAUGUUCUAACGUGGGCCCGUGAUCCGGGUUGCGGACAGUGUCUGGUGGGUAGUUUGACUGGGGCGGUCUCCUCCCAAAGCGUAACGGAGGAGCACGAAGGUUAGCUAAUCCUGGUCGGACAUCAGGAGGUUAGUGCAAAGGCAUAAGCUAGCUUGACUGCGAGAGUGACAGCUCGAGCAGGUGCGAAAGCAGGUCUUAGUGAUCCGGUGGUUCUGAAUGGAAGGGCCAUCGCUCAACGGAUAAAAGGUACUCCGGGGAUAACAGGCUGAUACCGCCCAAGAGUUCAUAUCGACGGCGGUGUUUGGCACCUCGAUGUCGGCUCAUCACAUCCUGGGGCUGAAGUAGGUCCCAAGGGUAUGGCUGUUCGCCAUUUAAAGUGGUACGCGAGCUGGGUUUAGAACGUCGUGAGACAGUUCGGUCCCUAUCUGCCGUGGGCGUUGGAAGAUUGAGAGGGGUUGCUCCUAGUACGAGAGGACCGGAGUGAACGCACCACUGGUGUUCGGGUUGUGAUGCCAAUUGCAUUGCCCGGUAGCUAAGUGCGGAAGAGAUAACCGCUGAAAGCAUCUAAGCGGGAAACUUGCCUCGAGAUGAGUCUUCCCUGGGCACUAGAUGCCCCUGAAGGGCCGUUGA